AAUAACUUGAUGUCAUGUGUAUGAUUUUAUAUUAGAACUA
rnacentral:sRNA from 1 species